AUUUAAAUAGCUUAUUUAGAGCGCAGUACUGAAGAUACUGAGGAAAUUUUUAAUUUUUAAAUA
rnacentral:tRNA from 1 species